AAUUGAGGCAUUUUCUCCACAAAUGGACAUCAGUUGGAGAUUGAGGUUCAAACUAGCAUUUCAAUAAGAGAAAAUCACCUCCAGCGAGACAAUCAAAAACAAUCCCAAAAUUUACAGUCAAAUUUCUAAAUUGGGUGGAAUUUUUGCAAAGAUAUCAAUAUGCUCACUGGCACCUAUAAUUCUGACAAGUGCGGGACCAUUGUCGUCUCCGGAAAUCAUCAGCAGCAUCUCAAAAUCUCGACCUGGUGGGUGCGGCGGUCAACGAGUAGCUUGCCACCACAAUGCUCAUCCUGCGGAUCAACUGGGAGCUGUUCUUGUGGCAAAUGAGAUGUGAUACGAAGAGUAUGACAAACAGUUGUACCAUAUUUUGUGUUCAUUUUAGUCCAUGGCUCAAAAAUUAUAUUUUUUGCCAAUCAAACAAAAUUAAUCGGUUUGUUUAAAAUGCCCAACAUUUCAACAUAUUUGUGUUCAUUAGAAGUUUCAAACCAUGUAUAGUAAUGUGGUAUAAUUGUCAUACAUUCAAAGGUACAGAUUGAUUCAACCUGAUACCUAACGUGAUAAAUAAUGUGAUAUGUAUUUAAAUACAACUUUAACUUUAUAAAGUUAUAAAAUAUAUAUACAAGAAAUAUAUCGAUGUUUUGGA